AAUCAAGCAGCAAGAGGACACAGAGAGGCAUGAAAGCACAGAAAAUUUAUGCAGCCUGAUUGUCAAAGUCCUAGAUUAUAAUUUUGGCUCUGUUACUUACUAGUUCUGUAAACUUGGAAAAGACCAUUAUGUGUUCGGUUUUAUUACGUGCUGGAUGCUGUGUUAAUUUUAAGGAGGUGAUGAUGUGUCUCCAGCUGUGAGGAAUGUCUCUGAACUAGUUAUAUUGACACUCACUAUUGCUUUUUACAACAGUUUAUUUCUAAAGUUCUUUUGUCUAUGUAUAGAGUGACACAGUAAUGACUAUACAUUUUCCCAGCCCCAAACCACAUAAAUACUCUGCAACAUUUUCUCUGGAGCCACUACCUUUUUCUGUAUAGCACUAUUAUCUGCAUUUGCUAUUAUUUUACUACACUUCACAUUUGAGCAGUACAUUGUAAUGUCCUGGACUCAGAUGCCCUGUGUUUCUGUACACGGUUGUGCUUUCAUAGCAAGAUGUCUCUUACAACAGACUUCAGAUUAAACCUCUUGUCUUUCU